rnacentral:rRNA from 1 species
UAGGGAAUCUUCGGCAAUGGACGAAAGUCUGACCGAGCAACGCCGCGUGAGUGAAGAAGGUUUUCGGAUCGUAAAACUCUGUUGUUAGAGAAGAACAAGGACGUUAGUAACUGAACGUCCCCUGACGGUAUCUAACCAGAAAGCCACGGCUAACUACGUGCCAGCAGCCGCGGUAAUACGUAGGUGGCAAGCGUUGUCCGGAUUUAUUGGGCGUAAAGCGAGCGCAGGCGGUUUCUUAAGUCUGAUGUGAAAGCCCCCGGCUCAACCGGGGAGGGUCAUUGGAAACUGGGAGACUUGAGUGCAGAAGAGGAGAGUGGAAUUCCAUGUGUGGCGGUGAAAUGCGUAGAUAUAUGGAGGAACACCAGUGGCGAAGGCGGCUCUCUGGUCUGUAGCUGACGCUGAGGCUCGAAAGCGUGGGGAGCAAACAGG